CCCGUCUCGGCCUUCCAAAGUGCUGGGAUUACAGGCCUGAACCACUGCACCCGGCCCAAACUUAGAAGUUAUUGAUGGUUGCCAUCAAUAUGGCGGAAAUAGUAAGGCACGUUUACAACACGAAGUGAAGAGGAGAAGCUAUUGGCUAAUGGACUUCACCGCUUGAAGGAAAUGCCUGGCUGAGGCAUAAGCUGAAGGUCCUCGGGAAGAACUCCAUCUUAUCUGGAAACGACUCCUGAGCUUAGACCAAUUGGCCCCAGGGAAAGAUGAGCCUUGAUUGUACCUUUGGCAAAAGCUAAAAGUGCAAGAGAUCAUCCCGGGCAGAGGAGCCGGGUGUGGCACUCGUUCUUGACCUACACCUAGCAGGGAUGGAACCAGUAUUGCAGGAGGUGCUGGUCCAGCUGACUUCUCGCUCUGCAACAAACCCAGGAGUGUAACCUGCAGCAGAAGGUGGUGCCCCCACUUGCUGUUUUCUACUGCUUACUGAAAAGCAGAUCUCAAUUUCAGCGAAGCACUACCAGAUUUUUCAUCCUUCUUUUUCAUGGAUCUGAGAGACGUAAAAGUAUUGUAGUUAGAUUCAGACGGAACCCAUUUUAAACACACUCUGUAAACAGAGAAAAAGAUAAACAUAGACAAAGAAAAUAUUCUGCCAAAGAAGGGAAACGACCCGAGAAACCUAGCAAAUAUAGAAUGUGAAGUGAAAUUCCUAACAUGAGAUAGAAUAAAGUAUUAGAAAAUCUCUCAUUGAUAUUUUUGACCAAGUUUGAGAGGAUGUGGCAUCUGUGGAGCUAGAGUCAACAGUUAUGAAAAGUCUUUCAUGACUGAAAAGAUGUACCAUGGAGAUGUGCCAUUGUGUUUGAAAACACAAGAGAAGGUGUUCCUGGAGAAAGAUGGAAGCUGCUUAUGAGAGACAAGACAGACCCUGUGGAAGUUUAGUCAUGAGGAAGAUAAAGAAGAUUUUCUGGGGGGAUCCUCUAGAAACAAAACAAAACACAAAUUGUAAUGCAUCUGUAGUUAGACUGCUAGGAACUUUGACUCAAUGGACUGAAAGUUUAAGGCUUUGUUCUUUACCUGUGCUGCUUUCAAAAUAUGUGAACAGUGGAUCCAUUUUUGCAAGCAGAAGUUGUUUAACCAUGAGAUGAAUGUCCCAUGAUUUCAAAUGAUAUAUAAUAAACAUUUUUCUUUUGUGUUUGAAAUCUA